ACUGGAGUUUGAUCCUGGCUCAGGACGAACGCUUGCGGCGUGCCUAAGAAAUGCAAGUCGAACGGGGGCUUCGGCCCCAGUGGCGAACGGUCGCGUAACACGUAAGCAACCUGCCCUGAAGUGGGGGACAACAUCCCGAAAGGGGUGCUAAUACCGCAUGUGGUCACGAGUCGGCAUCGACUUGUGUCUAAAGAUUUAUCGCUUCAGGAUUGGGCUUGCGGCCUAUCGAGGUAGUUGGUGGGGUAAUGGCCUACCAAGCCGACGACGGGUAGCUGGUCUGAGAGGACGAUCGAGCCGGAUUGGGACUGAGACUACGGCCCAGGACUCCGUACGGGGGGCAGCAAUUAGGAAUCUUGCGCAAAGUGGGGAAACCCUGACGCAGCGACGUCGCGGUGAAAGGAU
rnacentral:rRNA from 1 species